rnacentral:rRNA from 1 species
AGUGAACGCUGGCGGUAGGCCUAACACAUGCAAGUCGAACGGCAGCACAGUAAGAGCUUGCUCUUACGGGUGGCGAGUGGCGGACGGGUGAGGAAUACAUCGGAAUCUACUUUUUCGUGGGGGAUAACGUAGGGAAACUUACGCUAAUACCGCAUACGACCUACGGGUGAAAGCAGGGGAUCUUCGGACCUUGCGCGAUUGAAUGAGCCGAUGUCGGAUUAGCUAGUUGGCGGGGUAAAGGCCCACCAAGGCGACGAUCCGUAGCUGGUCUGAGAGGAUGAUCAGCCACACUGGAACUGAGACACGGUCCAGACUCCUACGGGAGGCAGCAGUGGGGAAUAUUGGACAAUGGGCGCAAGCCUGAUCCAGCCAUACCGCGUGGGUGAAGAGGGCCUUCGGGUUGUAAAGCCCUUUUGUUGGAAAAGAAAAGCAGCAGGUUAAUACCCCGCUGUUCUGACGGUACCCAAAGAAUAAGCACCGGCUAACUUCGUG